rnacentral:rRNA from 1 species
CCUACGGGAGGCAGCAGUAAGGAAUAUUGGUCAAUGGGCGCAAGCCUGAACCAGCCAUGCCGCGUGCAGGAAGACGGCCCUAUGGGUUGUAAACUGCUUUUGAACAAGAGAAAACCUCGGUACGUGUACCGAGCUGAUAGUAUUGUUAGAAUAAGCAUCGGCUAACUUCGUGCCAGCAGCCGCGGUAAGACGAAGGAUGCAAGCGUUAUCCGGAUUCAUUGGGUUUAAAGGGUGCGUAGGCGGCCUGAUAAGUCAGUGGUGAAAUCUCUCAGCUUAACUGAGAAACUGCCAUUGAUACUGUCGGGCUUGAGUACAGAUGAUGUGGGCGGAAUAUGACAUGUAGUGGUGAAAUACUUAGAUAUGUCAUAGAACACCGAUUGCGAAGGCAGCUCACAAAACUGUAACUGACGCUGAGGCACGAAAGUGCGGGGAUCAAACAGGAUUAGAUACCCUGGUAGUCCGCACCGUAAACGAUGAUUACUCGUUGUUGGCAAUAUGACCGUCAGCGACCAAGCGAAAGCGAUAAGAAUCCACCUGGGAGUACGCCGGCAACGGUGAAACUCAAAGGAAUUGACGG